rnacentral:lncRNA from 1 species
UUGGCUAAUUAUCUUUCUCAGAGAUUCGUACGAGAUGAAAAGAAACUAAAAAAAAUAAAUAAACUAUAUUACCUCUUAAUAAAUGCUAAGUUUAAUAUAUUCAGCCAAACUUUUAUUAACACUACUUCUAAGAAAUUAAAUUUUCUUCCAACAAGUGCUAAGUUUAAAAUCUUCAGUCAGACUUCAUAAUUCUAUCUAUCCUGU